GUAGUCCACGCCGUAAACGAUGGGUACUAGGUGUUGCAGGAAUUGACCCCUGCAGUGCCGCAGCUAACGCAUUAAGUACCCCGCCUGGGAAGUACGGCCGCAAGGUUAAAACUCAAAGGAAUUGACGGGGGCCCGCACAAGCGGUGGAGCAUGUGGUUUAAUUCGAUGCAACGCGAAGAACCUUACCUGGGUUUGACAUCCCCUGACAGUCCUAGAAGUAGGAUUUCCUCUUCGGAGGCAGGGAGACAGGUGCUGCAUGGCUGUCGUCAGCUCGUAUCGUGAGAUGUCGGGUUAAGUCCCUUAACGAGCGCAACCCUUAUCCCUAGUUGCCAUCAUUUAGUUGGGCACUCUAUGGAGACCGCCGGUGUUAAACCGGA
rnacentral:rRNA from 1 species